rnacentral:rRNA from 1 species
GAUGAACGCUGGCGGCGUGCCUAAUACAUGCAAGUCGAGCGAACAGACGAGGAGCUUGCUCCUCUGACGUUAGCGGCGGACGGGUGAGUAACACGUGGAUAACCUACCUAUAAGACUGGGAUAACUUCGGGAAACCGGAGCUAAUACCGGAUAACAUGUUGAACCCCAUGGUUCAACAGUGAAAGACGGUCUUGCUGUCACUUAUAGAUGGAUCCGCGCCGCAUUAGCUAGUUGGUAAGGUAACGGCUUACCAAGGCAACGAUGCGUAGCCGACCUGAGAGGGUGAUCGGCCACACUGGAACUGAGACACGGUCCAGACUCCUACGGGAGGCAGCAGUAGGGAAUCUUCCGCAAUGGGCGAAAGCCUGACGGAGCAACGCCGCGUGAGUGAAGAAGGUCUUCGGAUCGUAAAACUCUGUUAUUAGGGAAGAACAAAUGUGUAAGUAACUAUGCACGUCUUGACGGUACCUAAUCAGAAAGCCACGGCUAACUACGUG